rnacentral:rRNA from 1 species
GACGAACGCUGGCGGCGUGCUUAACACAUGCAAGUCGAACGAUGAAGAAGAGAAACGCGAACUUCGGUUCAAAUUUCACUUCGGAUUAGUGGCAGACGGGUGAGUAACGCGUGAGCAACCUACCUCUUACAAAGGGAUAGCCUCGGGAAACCGUGAUUAAUACCAUAUGACACAUUCAUAAGGCAUCUUAAGAAUGUUAAAGCUACGGCGGUAAGAGAUGGGCUCGCGUCCCAUUAGCUAGUUGGUGAGGUAACGGCCCACCAAGGCGACGAUGGGUAACCGGCCUGAGAGGGUGAACGGUCACAUAGGAACUGAGACACGGUCCAAACUCCUACGGGAGGCAGCAGUGGGGAAUAUUGCACAAUGGAGGGAACUCUGAUGCAGCGACGCCGCGUGAGCGAUGAAGGAAUUCGUUUCGUAAAGCUCUGUUCUAUGGGAAGAAAAGGACUGUACCAUAGGAGAAAGCCCCGGCUAAAUACGUG